UGGGGAAUAUUGGACAAUGGGGGGACCUCUGAUCCAGCCAUGCCGCGUGUGUGAAGAAGGCCUUAUGGUUGUAAAGCACUUUAAGCGAGGAGGAGGGUACUGGUAUUAAUACUACCAGGUACUGGACGUUACUCGCAGAAUAAGCACCGGCUAACUCUGUGCCAGCAGCCGCGGUAAUACUGAGGGUGCGAGCGUUGAUCGGAUUUACUGGGCGUAAAGCGUGCGUAGGCGGCUAAUUGAGUCGGAUGUGAAAUCCCCGAGCUUAACUUGGGAAUUGCAUUCGGUACUGGUUAGCUAGAGUGUGGGGGAGGGUGGUAGAAUACCAGGGGUAGCGGUGAAAUGCGUAGAGAUCUGGGGGAAUACCGAUGGCGAAGGGAGCCAUCUGGCCUAACACUGACGCUGAGGUACGAAAGCAUGGGGAGCAAACAGG
rnacentral:rRNA from 1 species